CCUGGCCCCGGAGCGGUUUAGCCGCUGCCUUGUGUCGCGGCCGCGUGCCGGGCGAUGGCCGCCCAGACCCCCGGGCCCCCGAUCGCCAACCCCGGGGCUUCCCACCCGCGCCUCGGUGGAGGGAGGCCCCGGAGGCGCCAUCGCUCGCGCCUGCCACCUGGACGCUGAAUAAACUGGGAAACAAUUAGGUGGCCGGGUGGGGAAGGUGCUGGGUGACUGCACUGCCAGGCGGCCGCGUGCCCCCGCGCUCGCAGGGGUUGGCGAUUGGGGGCGGUUGGGAGUUUGUGUUUAGGGAGGAAGGUGAGAGGUGCGGGAUCUGCCCACGAGGGCAGUCGCUCUCGGAGAAUCGGGGAAUGGCUCUGUCAGGUCGCAGGCCCUCCUCCGCCUUUAUCCCCAUCACGCACAAAAAGAAUGGGCCUUGCAAGGGAUGUUUAUUAUGCACUUUUAAGUGACUAUUCAGAAAAGAGCAGGAGGCACAAUAAAAAAGGCUUCUGCCCCACCAAUUCCCUUCCCUUGAAGAAAAAAAGAAAGAGAAAGCCACCCACAAAGGGCCAACCCAAGGGGCUAAUAAAAUCUGAGAGCUGUUAGUCCCAAAUACAUUUUGUGCGGGAGUUUGUGAAAGCAACUUUUGCCGAGUGCAAACGUCAGACGAUGAAACUGAAAAUACUUCCAAAGUCACAGGCUCCUCUUCCAAUCACAGCGCCUCACAUUUCCAGCGCUCCGGGAUAAAGUUGUCUGAGGAAAAUAAAAGUGUUGAUAAACCAUGGUUCCAGAUUGUUACUUAUUUUACAACCCUCGGUUUGCAAUCGAUCAUAGCUUGGGCCUAACAGGACUGACUCCGGCUUUUCAUUUGUUUAUAGUGUGUGCAAUGUUUUAUGCCUCAAAUGUACCAUGUCAGCUAUGUAAAAUAAUGCAGUAUUUUUGUUCGCAUCCUGGAUCCACUUGCACAAUGGUUUUUGUUUAAAAUGAAGGCGGUGAUUAUUUUCCAUUAUUACAGAAUGGAAACUUCAAUCCUAAACAUCUGAGAAACAUAGCUGAAGAAUCCACUGCUGAGCUGGGAAAAGCCGAGAGAAGCUCGUGUUUACUUGAUUCACAAAGUGCAAUUGACUCUAUUUAACUUGACCAAUUUAAAUCCAAUCUAAUAAACCACAAGCUUGCUUCCGCUUCAAAAAAGCCAACAGGCCACCCUGAGGCCCAAAGUCCAUCUUUCUCAGUGCCAUGAUGUCAAAUAAACCUGUGAUGCCCUUGUUUUUGCUAAGCGAAUGGCUCAUAUGUUGCAGUUAAUUUUUCUGGUGCAACAAUCACAUUGUAAUUUUCCAUGACUCUUCUCUAUAAGUACAAAGAAACCCUGGAAUCAUGGAAUUUUGAGCCAGAGGGAACCUCUUCACUUUACAUGGGAAGAAAUGGAGAGAGAGAGAGAGAGAGAGAAGUGAAGUGCCUGCCCGCUCUCACACGGGCUCUACCACCUGCCUCCAGGUCUCCCUGCUCCCUAACAGGUGGUUUCUCCCCGCCUCAGCCUCUUGAAGAGAUGGAAGGAAGGAAACUGGGAAAGGACUCAAGAGCAACACUUCAGGAAGCACAGGGAAACCAAGGGAAUGCAGUAACAGAAUUAACAGGAUGUGGGAAAGGUUCGAGUGAUAAAUCCAGGUGGUUAAAUGAGUUUCAAAGCAUCAGGAGCCAGGUCAUAAUAGAGAAACCAUGGGAAGGGCAGAGGCUGUGUAAAAAAUAAUCUGGGAAAAUAAGGACUGUGGAGAGAAAGCAAGUGCUUUUUAAGAUGUGUCAAACAUAGGGUCAAAGUUAGAUCAAGAGGAGAAAAGGAAAAGUCUGGGGGAAUGUCUGUAGACAGGCAGAAAGAGAGUGAGUGAACUGAUGUCCUAAAGAUUCCUUCUGUACGGCGCUGCUGAGGAAGAGAGCGUGACGAACGGCCUCACGAGAAUGAGCUAGUGCAGGGCUGAGAGACACAGGAAUGGCCGCAGUCAUGGUGAAUUGUGGGCAGUGGUGAGAGUUUCGUCCCAGGAGCAUGAUGAGAAUGCCAGCGCCUGACCCACAUCAAGGCUGCUUCAUCUGCGGCGAGAUGGAGAGUGUCCUAAACCAGUCAGCCCUCAGAUGAAGAAGCGUGCUGUCCAAUGUCACCCAGCAGCUGGGUGCCGGGCAGAGGAAAUUCAGGCUUUCUCUUCUGCAUCUGCGCAUGCCCACGGUCACGCCCCUUUCCUGGUUCGGAUUUGGAAUUGUUCAGUUAGGAAGGGCUCUGAAGAGAUGCCUUUCGAUUUCCUUGGGGUUAGCUGGUUCAAAUCUCCCUCAUGUAUAAACUAAGAAUGUGUUCUACAGUGUUCCUCAGCUUAUUAGUUUUCCUGGAAGAAAUGGAUGAUUCUCAUUGUCACUUGAAAACAUCCACAUUUUGGAAAUGCCUGGGCUAGCGAAGUGUAAUAAUAAAAUUCAUUUCAAUUGGUCAGUCUCGAAGGUUAAUUGAGCAGUUAUACUUUAUUCUAAUUAUUUCUGGCUAACAUUGAAGUGAUGGCAAAGUAGUAAGGAUUUUUGGCCAACUCCUUGGGUUUUUUCCUCUCUGUCAUUUUUUUUUUAAUGACUGCCCAGUGUGGGCAAGGACCUACUACUCAAAGCAGAUGACCUUGGCAGCAGUGUUUCUGAAAUCCUGGGUUCUGGAAUACUUUAAGGCUCUUCGUCACCUUUAAGAGCUGUCCUUAUGAGGCCAGGAAUCUAGCUGAGUUUGGUGUGGGUAGACAAUGGGAUGCUCUGGUUGCCUGGAAACCCUGGUGAACCGAUGGUGACCACAUCCGUUAUAAACCGGGGCCUGAUUCUUAGCAACUUCAAAGGUUUCUGGAGCAGCGCUAGCUGCCAGCUCUUCUUACAUAGAGCAACAGGCAGAAAUCGUUGGUAAUCUGGCAAAUGACAAACUUCAUACCCUAGGAUGUUUACUCUCUCUCUGUAUACUGAAUUUGCACACAAUCUAGAGUUAUUAUUUCCUCACAAAUAAUUUCUAUCUAAUGAAUAAUGAUGUCUUUGUUGUGAGCCGAUAGUCCAAGUAGCAAGUUUCCCCUAGUCAGAAUUAUCUACAACUAUUAUGUGUUUUCGCACUCAAACUUUUCUUACAGAAACAAAAACUUUUAUUAAAAUAGUUAGAAAUUAUUUUAAAAUUAGCAUAUAAAAUAAAGAAUGCAAUAUUCAAGCAGGAUACCCAUAAGCCAUUUCAAGCAUAAUUUAUGGUUACAUAGACAAUUUAAACAAUUAGGGAUUUUCCCCCACUGACUAUUAAUUCUUUUUAACGAUGGUUUUUCUCUCUCUGUUCCUCCCAAGCUAAAAAGCACAAGUUAUUUAUCUUUCCUGGUUUGUUCACUAUUUUCCAGGAUUUAUUUACAACCCCCUAAAAACGAGUGUUGAAACUCUUGCAUCUGCCCUAUUUCUGUUUACUCUACCCUUAUCUCCAGCUGGAAAACCAUAAGGAAAAGGAAUUUAAAGAAAAUUCUAAAUUCAUUACUCCCACUCUCUUCCUAUCUCACCAUAUUUGACUCAUCAAUAUGUGCUGAGCACUCACCAUGAGACAGACAUUGAGAAACAGGUGAACAAGUGUGGUCCCAGCCCUCCAGGAGCUUACAACCACCUGCGGACGGGGUACCUACAUGUACCCAGGAAAUGAUUAUGUAACGGAGUAAGUGCUAUAAGCACUUAGCCCAGCCUCAAAACUUUGGCGUAUUUUCAUAAGAAGAUGAAAAAAAUGAGGAAAAUUGUAUGAUAGCUUAUUUCAUGUUAACUUCAUGAUGGUCUUUUUCUAGCCAUAGACAUCAUCUUAAAAUCCCUCCUCUCCAACAGGUACUAGAAAUAUUCACUUAUUUACAGUUCUAGUAAGCUGUUAGCAACCACAGAUUUAAUUCUAAAUUAUCCCAUAGAAUGUACCUUUUCACAGAGCUUGAGUUUUAAAAGAAAUCCCAGACAUACUUGGUUCAGCAUUGACCUGUGUGACAUUGACUUGUUAGAGUGCCAUAUAUAUGAGAUCUAUUUUAAAUAUGUGUAUAUGUACAUCUAAUAUAUACAUGUUUCACUCUGGAUAUUAAAUUACAAGUUUGGUAGUGACUUGAGGUGCCAUUAAGAAAUUGGUCUAAGAGACCAAAUAUAAAAGUUGUCAGGCAAUUAGGAAUUGGUGAAAGUUCUUGGACUUGACAAAUGGUAUUAUAAACAAAUAUUGCUGUAGCUUGAGAAGGAUGGACCAACAAAUGUAUGACCACUAGCCAGAAGAAACCAUGGCUGGAGUGUGUCCUGACUUCAGGGGAUGUAAAGAGAAUGUUGGAGUGACUGCAAAGUAGAAUAUAGGAAUCUGCAUCCUCGGAGACUGUACUCUGACAAACCCGUUAUAUCAGAUGCUAUUGCUUUCACCUGUUUGUAGCAGGCCCCUACUCUACUGGCAUCACUAGGUAGGAAUUUGUUUUUCACUUGGCAGGAGGCAGGCCAGGGCUAGUUCAGAGGCCCUACAAUUCCAGGAGAAAUUCCGUUUCCUCUCUCUUCCUCUCUAUCAUCCUUAGCAUCUACUUUUUCCCCUUAUGGUGACAAGAUGACCCCUUUACCUCCAGGCAUCGUGUCUGUAUUCCAUGUAGAAAAGAAGAAGGGCAAAAGGUAUGUACCAGCUGAGUUCAUCCCUUUUUAUAGGAAAACAAUAGCUUGCUAAGGCCUCACCAAGUAGAGUCUACUUCUGUACCACUGGAUAGAACUAGGUCACAUGGCCUGAGCGUUAAAGAAUCUGGGGAGGUGAGAAAUGCUAACAGGGCACAUAGCCCAGGCCCAAACAAAUCCAAGGUAUCUUGUUAAGGCAAAAAGGAGAAAUGGACAUUGGGUAUAGAACCAGUGCUGAUUCCGUCAGUGUUUCCAAUUUUAAAAGAUGUCACCUCACACACUAAUGCAUUCAACUACCCUGUGUUUAUAUACAAUGUAGUACUGUUGUAAAAUAAACAUAUCAAAUCAUUUUUGUAUCUCAGUACUCUUUCCUUCAGUAAAGAGGUAGCAUUUUUGUAAAUGUAUCCAGUAACUUGACCAAUUUUAGAGGCUGUCAAGAAACCCAAUAUUACUUUAUAGUAAUAAAGAUAUAUACUCUACUUCAUUCUGGAUCUUAAUCUCACACUAUGCUAUAUUUUUAAAGGGUUUUGUGUCCUUACUGCUGGAAGUUUAUUUGCUGGCUUAUAAUAAAUGUAUGGCUAACAUUCAGUAAUGCUUUAAUACACAAGACCGGUGUGAAGGUAUUUGAGCAACCCCGGGAAUUGUGGUGAUCUGGGUGGUGAAAGAAGAGGAAGCGUUGGAUGGGCAAUAUAUUUCAAUGAUUAUAUAUGCCUAUCAUUAAAAAGCAUUUAUUAAGCACCUAUAUGCACGUAUCACUGUUGUCAAAGAGAUGUUUUACUCCAAUCAACUCUGGAUUUUAUUAAUCCUUUUACCUAUUUUUUAUAAACUGUUUUUCCACUCAGCAAUAUCUCAACCAGAGUAGACAGAGAGGGGCAGAUAAAGCUCAAACCAGUCAACCUAAUCGUGUUAUUAGCUAUAGUUAAAAGUUUGCUGAGGGAGGAGAUUGAAACUAUUUGUAAAAUGAGGUUUGUGUUUGUGGAUUUCAGUUAUCCCUGCUAUUCCUAGUACCUCUUUCCAUGGACAAUCAAGAGUUGGAUGAAUCUAAAACUAUUGUUUCGGAGCAAGAUUUGGUUGCUAUCUGUCAGAGAUCAUAAUUAGCAUCAAAAAGCAUUUAUUCCACCCUACUUUUUUAAAGGCAUUGUACUAGCUGGUAGCAGUGGGGACAUUUGGAAAAAGUAAUGUUAUAGCAGCCCUCUUACCACAUUGCACAUUUUCUUAGAAAAAGCAAGUAAUGAGUACAUAAGUGUAUAUAACCUUCAACAUGAUGGGAGGAAAGAAUACAAGUGUUUUUUUCCUCAAUAGUUAGAUUCGCAUUCUUAGGAGUCUGGCUGAAGGCAUCAGCCAACGUGUAUCAUCUCAUCCAGUUAUCCCAAAAGGGAAGUUUGAAUGUUCAAUUUACACAAACGUGUUGACUUAGGUUUUGCAAAUGAAGGACUUUUUUCUAAACAUCUCAUGCUAUGCUCCACGUUAGACUCUGCUCUCAGUCUUCCUUUGAUUGCAGCACAAAGAAACUUGACUCUGCCAAUUACUGUGUGACCUUAGGCAAGUCACUCACUUAACCUUUCUGGGCUUCCUUUCCUUCUUCUUAAAGUGGGGGCAGCAAAAUCUACUCUGCAGGGUUGUUAAUGGGGGAAAAAAGGUGACUUUGAAUGUAAAAUCACUUUGUAAAAUGUGACGUGCUAUACUAAUAUAUUAUUGUUUCAUUAAUCCAAACAUCCUAUUGAGGAGUUUUUAUCUGAUGCUGAGCAUCUGAAUGACUUUGAGCUUGGAAUAACUUUGAUGAAGUACCACACGGUCUCAAAGACCAGCCAUCGUUGGCCAGCUAAUUGGAAAAUCUCUGGUUUUGAAGUGAGUUCCAAGGUGGUAUAUAAUGCACUUCUGCUUCAGCCAUCCUAUUUAGGAUAAGCUACUUCGGAAAUAGUCACAAAUCAUUUUCCAGGUUUGCUAUAGUAAAUGGGUACUCAGCCUUCAGAAAGAACAGAAAGGUAGGUAGCCAUUGUCAUCAUUCAUUCAUUUAGUGUAGAGUGUUAUUAAUACCUAUGAAAUGUAUCAGAAGAAACCUUUACAUUUUUAUAUGCAUUUGCCCUUUUAAGGAAUGAAGUAACUAAAAUUAAGAUGACAUUGCUGAAAUGGGUGUGUCAGUCUUCACAAAUUGCUACCACCCAAAAUCUGGUUAUCGUUUUUCCUUUAUUUAUUUAAUUUUUAUUUUGUUUUAUUGAGGUAACAUUGGUUUAUAACAUUAUAUAAAUUUCAAGUGUACAUGAUUAUAUUUUGACUUCUGUAUAGACUACAUCAUGUUCACCACCAAAAGUCUAGUUGCCAUCCAUCACCAUACAUAUGUGCCCUUUACCCCUUUCGCCCUCCCCCUGCCCCCUUCCUCUCUGGUAACCACCAAUUUGUUCUCUCUAUCUAUGUGUUUGUUGGUUUGUUGGUUUAUCUUCUACAAUGUAUGAAAUCAUAUGGUAAUAGUCUCUCUCCCUCUGACUUAUUUCACUUAGCAUAAUACCCUCAAAGUCAUCCCUGUUGUCGCAAAUGGCAGUAUUUUUUUCUUUUUUACCACAUUUUCCUUAUCCAUUCAUCAGUUGAGGGGCAUUAAGUUUGCUUCCAUAUCUUGGCUAUUGUGAUUAAUACUGCAGUGAACACAGGGGUGUAUGUAUCUUUUCAAAUUAGUGUCUUCUCCUUUAUAACCUAAGUUUCAGCUUUGCUCUACUCAAAGGACUCCCAAUGAUGAAAAUAUCAUGUAAUUCUAGCCUAAUAUUUUGCAUUAAAUCAUCCAUGUGCUUUCAACUCUUUGGUUGUUGAUAUCACUAUAAAUCUUCUCUUGGGUACCCAGUUUUUAUAUCAAGCAUUUAUAAACUUCAUAAACAUUUGGUGGAAGAUGUUUUUUAUUAUUAUUUCUUUCUAAAUUUCUGCUCAAUUCUUCUGGUGAUUUGUAGCAGUAGGUGCAUGCUAAAUAACAUCAGGUAUUCCACCAAAGUAUUUUUUAAUGCACGCUUCCAAAAAUUUGUGGGUAAUUUCUAAAAUAGGUUCUGAGCAGAGGGUCUUAGAGAGGAAAAAGGAUCAUUAGUAUCCCUCCUCGGCUAAUUUAGCCAAGUACAUUCCACAACUCUCCCAAUCAGUAUAUUAAGCAGAUGUGGUCUUUGUCCACCUAGUAAGUUGCGUUAGACCUUUCAACACUCUGCAGCCUUUUUAUCACUCAGCUGCCAAGUUCCCUAGGGUAAUCAUAGACAGCUUGUCAAUUUAAUUGCAAAGAAACAGGCUUUCUUGUGACCAUUCCAAUUUUAGCUGCUACUUUAAAUUGUACAUGAUAGUUCUUCCAUGCUGUCUGCCCUUUAAACAGUGUGGAUCUCUGCAAGCCUCUUAAUGGUGAUGGAAAAAGGAGGCAACGCUGAAAAUCUGGCUUGCUGAUAGAGACUGUAACAUGCAUUUUAUUAAGUUGCUGCUUUAGGAGGGGAAGCUUUUCCUUAAGCCCAGUAUGCUGCCAUUACAUCACCUAAAUUAUUUUUUUUCUUUUCAAUCUUCCGCUUUCAUGCACAUUUUCCUCCUUUCUGGGUGAUAGAGGAUUCAUAGGCCAUCUGGAUUCUGAAACAUCUGGACACUGAAUUUCUGCAGAGGAGAAUCAGAGGGAAGAGACGAUCAGUGGUACUGGGUGUCUCUGGAGAGAUUUAAAUCAACGAGGAUAUUUUGGUUGUCUCCCUUUUGGAAAGUUAACACAAAAAGUGAAAGGAAAAAACAGCACCUCAUAGGAACCCAGUGUUUCAAGAAUGCUAAGAGUAUAAAAGACAGUCGGACUUUUAGAUAUAAAUUUAGGUCACUAACUGAAUACGUCUUUAUAUUAGAUAUCAUUUCUAGAAUUUUCCCCUAUUUUUUCAUUGUCAUGCAUUUUUGGAUUUAAUUUAGUUAGAUAUACUUUUAACAGUGCUGAAUUUAGAUACUGCAUCAUUUUUGCAUAACAUAUUUUACCUUAAGCUAUGUAUAAUUCAAUUCAAUAAAAUUUUAUUAAUCAAGUGUUAUAAGUAAAGUCAUAAAACUAACAUAUCAAAAAUGUUCAUGUGUUCAGCUUGAUCGAAAGACUAGAUAUGGGCACCACUUAGGUAAAUCAAGAAGAGUUACUUUUCUAAGAUAUGCAGAAGAAUAUUAGUACAAAGAGAUAAAUAAUGUUUCCCAGGUCAGGUGGAGUUGUAAGCUUGUGAAUCCAAAAAUCAAGAACCAAAAUGAUAACAUAUGUGUGUGAGAAGGUCUUGUUAGACCUUUGGAAAGUCCAGCUGCCCUCCUACAAGCUCAGCUUUAUGUGUAUAUGCAUGUGUGUGUGUGUAUGUGUGUAAGUGUGUGUGUGUGUAAGGAUUUGCACAGAGACAGAGGCUGCCCUGGAAUGUGCAGGGGACCACCUCCUCUGGACCAUGAAUCUCGGUGAUGUACCAUAUAUAAUCUGACUACUCAGUUCAGUACAGUCUAGUCAGGCGUGAGCACAGGGCUUAUUUAUCACUCUCAGCUGUUCCCCGCUAACACAGCCUGGUCCACCAUCUUGACUGAACUUGAGCUGCAGAACCAGAACAAGGAUGAGUCACCCAGAUUGCUCAGCAAAUCACCGCAGCAGGCCCUUAGACCAGUCUUAAAGCUCCUCCUUUGUGUAAAGGCACUAGACUUAGCUGUCAGGCGAGUGUGAAGAGCUGUUCAGAUUCUAUGAUUUAUUUCCCAUGCUAUUGCAAAAUUUUAUUUUUUCUUUCACUAUAUUUUCUCUGGUAAAUAUUUGGGCUGUUAAUAGAUUUUCUUUCCUGAAAAAAUUGAAAUUGCUACUCUUUAAGUACUCUUUAAGAGUACUCUUUAAGAGAUAUGAGUUUGAAGCAACCAGUCUUAUGCGCCUUCACGCAGUUUUCUUGAAGUACGUGAUGCUCUGCCGUAUAUAAAAACAGUUAAGACUGUCAGUUUCUUGAUUUCUAGGAAACCAGAACUGCUCAAAAGAAAAAGAAUCCAACAGUAAAAUUUUAGUAACUACUUUUUUUUAAAAUCAGGCAUACCUACAUUUAAAAAUAAUAACUCUCUGAAAUAAGGGACUACAGACAUAUUCUCUGAUUUCUGCCAGUUCAUUGUGUCCUUAAUUUCCUCUAACUGCGUCUUCAGCGAGCCCCACAAUGAAGUACAAUAUUAGAUGUUCACUUGUAUGAUAUCAACCUUGUAUGAAGAGAAUGAAUAAAAAAUGAAGUUCUUAGCUGUGAUCUAUUUCAGAUUAGCCAUUUUCAUUUAUAAAACUGUUUAUUUUACUUUGUCAGCUUGAAGGUCAAUCUAACUUCAAAUUGCAUAUUGCAGAAUUUCAACAAAGAUAUGAGGCCCAUCGCUGCUCCCUUUAAGACUAAAGGUGAAAAGCUGAGUCUUAACCGGGAUAUUGGGUAGAGCUUUAUGAAAUGGACCAGAUCACAUUGAUAUAAGACUUGCAAAGACACUUCACUUUGAAGUCAAAACAUCAGCGCCUGGACAGGGUGGCAGGUGGCAUCAGUAUUAGCAAGUAUUAAUUGUGGGCAUUAACCCAGGACAAGAAAACACUUGUCACACACUAAGGAAAGAAUGAACAAUAGCCAUCAUAUCAGCUACCGUUUAUUGAACACUUACUGUAUAUCAGGCAUCAUUCUAUGCAUUUUAGAUUAUCUCAUGAUGUCUCCACAAUAACUCUUUGAAGUAGGUACUAUUGCUAUCACAUUUUACAGAUGAAAAAGCUGAGGGACAAGGAAGUUAAGACUCUUGGCCAAGAUCACACAGCAAGUACAUGAGGGAGCAAGGUUUCAAACCCAGGCAGAAAGACUCCAAAACUCAUAUUCUAAAUGACAAGGUAUGUGAAUAUGCAAUGUAGAGGACACUACAAAGACUAUAACUCAAUGUGCUCAGAUAUUGACCUGUAAUUAAAAAAAAAACCUAGCACCUCCUACAGACUCCGAUAGCACUCUUAGAUCAUCACAUCUUCCAAUAAUUACAUAUUUCACACACCCCGACUUGGUGGUAAACUUCACGUGGACAGAGACCAUGUCUGUUUUGUUCACGACUGUAAUGUUGGUGCCUAGCACAUUACCUGUCACAUUGUAGCCAUUUAAUCAAUAUUUAUUGACUAAAUAUUCAAUAAAUAGAUUUCUUGAAUAUUUACUGAAAUGUGAUUUCUUGUGAGGCACUGUCCAUUCCUCAGGAUGGUUUUAAAUAAGGCCACAGAGUUUAGCAAAAAGAAUGUUGCAUUUGGACAUAAAACUUAAGUUCUAUCCUAACACUGCAACAUCUCAGUUCUGAACAACAACAUCCUUGGACAAGCCACUAAACCUCUGGAGUCUCGAUUUUAUCAUCUGAUCAGCAAAUACAAUAAAGAUAUGUUUCCUAAGAAAGUUUUGGGUGCUACGCAAAUCCUCAUUAUUAUAACUAUGGGUUCUUCUAUUUGAUGACGAAAUAUCUAAAAAGGUAGAUCCAAAUAAGGAAACCAAAUCCUUUUCAUGGAAUCCAGAGACAGGAACACAGACCAGGAAGACACAAAUGCUAAAUGCUCAUUUCACUGAAAAGAGCUUAUGUCCUCAAACUUGCCUGAAUAGGCCUGGUUGCUUUUCUUGUUACAUAUCCCAUCUUAGUACUUGUACUGAAGGAAACAGCAGUGCAGGUAUGCCUCUGAGAUUAAAGCAUUUCUCAACUGAUUCAGGUCAGCAAGCCUUCUACCCUUUAAGAUAGGCUGACUAUUUAAACAUUUUAAAAUGCACCCCAAAUUCUUUGUCCAGAGUUUAACCCCCAAAGGCGUCUUCAAGCUUUUACUCAAGUCGACCUUCUCAACAUUUCAGCCAUGUUUCCUGAAGACACUCCCUCCUUUAGGGUGGCUUAUUUGAGAAGCAGUCUUUUGUCUCCAGUAAGGAAAAUAGUUUUGCUUUUUGGUUAUAUAUUUUCUUUUUCUGAAAGGACCAAGCUCAGAAACUACUGUGAGAUAAAAUCAUAGAUGUACUAUUUCAUACGGAGGGAGCCCAGAUUUAUUUUUUCUUUGAUGGGAAUUUUAGCAAUGCCCCCAAAAUAUAUAGCUUUCCUAAAUCAGUCAGUUACAAAAACGAAGUAUGUCUGUAUUUGGCAAGUGAAUUUAAAAAUGGAUUCUCAUAUUGUAAUAAUUCCUUUUAUAAGUGGAGUUGCUUAUUAUAAAAUUUUACCAUUUUGACAUUAUCUUACACCAAUUAGAAGUCCAUUCAACCUCAGCUGAAACCCACAACUUUUAAAAUACUCUUUAAAACCAAUUUCCAUUGUAACAAAAACGAUGAAUAAUUUUUUGUUAUUAAGUAUAAUAAUAGCUGACAUAUAUUUUAUGAUCAAAAACAUUGCUAAUAUAAAAACGGAUUUUAAAAUUGCAAAUAAACCUUUAAAAAGUGACUUAUCCAGGGGUUCUAAACUUGUGGUCCAUAAAUAGAAUUAAGAAAGUCUUUGAAUAUGCAUAAAAACAAAAAUUAUACUUUUAUUUUCAUAACGUCUAAUUAAAAUCUUGCAUUUCCUUCCAUUAUGAAUGUCAGGAACCAAUCACAAUAGUAUUAGCAGUUACCUGUGAUUUUGUCAUUAACAAAAAUCACAAACAUUUUCAAAUUAUAUUCAGUUACUGCAAAUAUUUCAAAAUAUCUUUUUUACCCAUCACUCCAUCCAAAUUGUGGUAGUUCUUAGACAAACUACUAGAGCAUAUUGUUUAAUGUGUUAAUAAAGAAACUCACAUUUCUUGAUCACAAUGUUUCAAAAUUUUGCUAACUGCCCUUCCAUACAAUUGGUUUCCUUUGAAACCCUAUGUAAUUUACCUUAUGCAUUUAAAAACCUUACACUCACACCCUAAUCCUUGGAACCUGUGAAUGUUACCUUAAAUGGCAAAAGGUCUUUACAGAUGUGAUUAAGUUAAUGAUCUUGAGGUGGACAGAUUAUCCUGGAUUAUCCCAGUGGGUGCUAAAUGUUAUUACAAGUGUCCCUGUGUGAGGGAGGUAGAGGGAGAUUUGACGACAGAAGAGAAGACGCCCACAUGACAACAGAAGCACAGAUUGGAGAGGUGACCUUGAAGAUGGAGGAAGUGGCCACAGAAAAUGAAACAGGCAAGAAAUAGAUAGUCCUUUGGAGUCUGCAGAGAGUGGAUGGCCUGCCAAUACCUAGUUUUGGCCCAGGGCAACCAAUUUUGGACUUCUUGAUCCCAGAACUGUAAGAUCAUAAAUUUGUGUUGGUUUAAGCCACAAAAUAAAUAAAUACAUAAAUAAAAAUAAUAAAUAAAAACUUUAUUCUGAGAGGGAGUCCACAGGCUUUACCAAACUAUGAAAGGGGUCCUUGACACCAAAAAGCAUUAUGAAUAUCUAUCUAAAAACCAUAUUAAACAGUUUAGAGUAUGCUAUGGACUGAAUUGUGUCCCCUCAAAAUUCGUAUGCAGAAACCCUACCCCCCAAUGUGACUAUAUUUGGAGAUGGGGCCUUUAUGGAAGUAUUUAAGGCUAAACGAUGCCAUAAGGGUGGAGCUCCGACCCAAUCGUGUUAGUGUCCUUAUAAGAAGAGACACCAGAGCUGGCCCACUCUCUCUCCUAGUGAGGACACAGCAAGAUGGCGGCCAUCUGCAAACCGGGAAGAGAGCUCUCACCAGAACCUGACCAUGCUGGCCUAAUUUUGGACUUUUAGCCCCCAGAACUGUGAGAAAAUAAAUUUCUGUUGUUGAAGCCCCCUGAUCUGUGAUAUUUCGUUGUAGUAGCCCAGGCUGACUGAUACAGAGCAAUUCUAGCUUUUUCCUUUUCAAAGGCUUUCUUGCUACUUCCUUUAGUGGCAAAUCUGGAUACUAUCUGGGACUUUGCUGUACUCCUUUGUCAGGAUUCAAGACCUAGACCCACUUUUAAGCCCAAAGUCCUGUGAGUUGUUACUUAAAUAAACAUCAUAAAAAGGAAACAACGUAUUAGACAAUAAUAAACAACAUUUAAAUACAGUUGUCAUUUGUUUCAGAAGUAGGUGGCAGUUGCUGCUGCUGCUAUCAGAUUCUAUUUCCAUGAGCAACAUUGUUUUCACAAGUCCUCUGUGAUCAACUCCCUCUGAGACACUCAGCGGCUCCUGGUACACACAGUGACUUUGCAGGCCCUGCCCCACAGGGAACACCACAAUUCACCCAAUUAGGCAACUAGGUGUCCUGAAUUUUUGUUAAGGACCAUAUUCCUACAUCAGCACUCAUAACCUCCUUCAAGAAACACACGGUACCAUUUCUGGUUAACCUUAAAACAAUCACAUUAAAAUAAAGAGGACUGUCAGUGGAGCAAUUUUAUAAAUAGCUAAAAUUAAACAGAGCAAGACUUGCAGUGCUAAUGCAUAAGCAAAGAACUGCCUGCCUGCAUUUCAUCGAGAAUUCCUGAUAGCAAACUGCAGUACGUUUAUUAUACAUUAAUUCAACACAGCACUCAAAAUGAAUUUAUGCCCUGGCUGAAGGGUGCAAUAUGGAAACUAAAUAUUAUUUAUUAUCUUAAUAUUAGUAACCAUACUAAAAAAAAUUGUGUUAACAAUUCAGAGUGUUUAAAAAACUAAGGAUACCACAACUCUCUUUACCAACCAACGGCUUCUGCCUUAAUUUAUGCAAGUGUAGCCUAUAGCUAAAAUCUUUGUAUAUUUGUUUCCCCAUGGUAUUAGUGCUCAAAAAUAGGACACUCUUUCAAGGGCACCUUAUAAACACAGAACUAUAAUUUAUUUGGCAAAUUAAAGCUCAUAUAAAAUGUGCACACAGAGGUACAGAUUAACAUAUUUAAUUUCAAUAUUACCUGCAAACCUAUUUUUUCCCAUACACUGUUCUAAUUAGUCAUAUAAAAUCGUGUCUGCGUAUUAUAAGCAAUUAUUUUAGUGGAAAUAGACACUGGAUCUGAAUUAAAUAUACUGUAAAAAAGAUAACGCUUUUAUGGAAAUUAAUAUAUCCAUUUGUAUCCAGAAAAAUGUGUUCUAGUUAAAUGGCAUGAGAAUGUUAAGCAUUCAAAACCUGAUUGCGGUAAAAGUUGAGAUUUUUAUGAUUUAAUAAUACAGAAUAAUAUGCAAUCUUGGUAAUACACCAGUAUUUAUAUUUUGAUGCUAUUUCCAAGUUUCCGAAUCCCCAGUAACCAUUAGAGUCACUUUAUGCAGGAGGAUUUUUCCUAUUAUGAAUAUUCACUCCCCCUACAGUUGAAUGUGCAAAUUGUUUGUGAACAUUCUAUUUAGCAAAUGAUUCUUUUCCUAUUAAGCCUAUACUGGGAAUGAUAGUGGGGUACGUAUCAAGCUUACAUUGCAUUAAAAUAGUUGCAAAUAGAUGCUGAUAAAAGAUUAUGCCUGUAAGUAAACGGAAGCUAUAACUUAAGUGGCAGGAUUAUUAGGCUUUCUAAAAGUUGUAAACUGACAUAAAGGCUUCGCCACUUAAGGAUUUUUGGAAAGAACAGAAUUAAAUUGAAGACACUUGACCCAGCACAGGGCAUGUGACGGGAUGAUCUAGUACCUCAGACUGGAAGCUUCUCAUUCUUAGGUCUCAGCUCAGAUGUCACCUCCUCAGAGAAAUCUUCCCAAACUCCUUAUCUCAGAAGGCUCCCCAGCCCCAGCCCAGUCUAGUACUUUCACCUCCCCACCUGAUGUGUUACUUUCACAGGACAAAUCAGAUUUGUUCAUUUCCUUGUUUAUUAUGUGUCUUCCCUACUAGAGUAAACUCUGUAAGGAUAGGGACCAAUCAAGCAUUUAGCACUGUUCCUGGCACAAACAAGGAGCUCAAUUACCAUUUUCUGAUUGAAUGAAGGAGCUAAUGUGAUAUUUCUUUAAGACAUUUCUCUAAGAUUAUUUAGGAUUUGGUUGUCAAGAAAUCUUAGAUUUAUUAAAAGGUUUUUAGGAUAUUCCCUUGGAUUCAGGAUUAGCUGUCCAUUCUAUUCACAAAAACAUGGGGCUAGAAAAAUCGCGUCCUUCCCCUCUUGUGUACCUUCCCAAGCAGACGAGAAUCUGCCUUGUAGAUUUAAAUGUAUGUUGUGUGAGGAGAGCCCACACAACUCCCUGAAUGACACGUCAUUGUUUUUGCGGCUACCCGUCAUGGCCCCAGGUAACUCUUCCUGCAAAAUACUGCAAACGUCCACAUAUCACUUCUUCUAACCCUCAUUUUCGCUAACUCUCAUCACUCCGGGCCUCCUGGAAUGGUUUCCUAGUUUGGGGCAAUUAGAAUCAUUAAGUCCAACCAGCAAAACCCACUAAGAUUCACCAUGGUUACUCGUUUAAACAUUGUCAACCUCUGGUCUGUCCAUCUUCUAAAGACUUUCAGAAAAGACAAGCCCACAAAACUCAUUGCAAUGUAUUAUAAUGUCAAAAAAGUGUUCCUCCUGCCUCUCCAAAAUCCUUGGUAGAGGCUUUCUUUUUGGAGUCUCAGGGUAGAUAAAAAACAGCUUGUCACCACUCAUUAACCAUGACCUGUUCUAACAUUGUAACAGAGGACCUGAUAUUGUAUAACAUUGGAUCUAACGUUAUAUAAGGGGACCAGCUCCUGGUCUUUUCCCUAUCACUCAUUAUUUUACAUGCCUGGUUCUGUUCUUCUUUCCAAUUUGAAAUGACUUUCACAACUCAAUCUGAGGGCCACACCACCAGGAACACCAUACCCGGUUUCUGUUAUUCCUCUCUAGCUUUUGUGGUUUUCAAUUUUUUUCUUUAAUAAAAUGAGUGUAAUGUUAAAUAUUAUUCACAAUCUUACCUUGUUUUGCUUUAAAUUGUAGCGUCAAAAGCCUGUUUUGCAACUUUGUCAUUCAUCCUGCUUUCUCCCAUGACUUCUACGUACAUUUUAAGCAGAAACUUCUGUUACACUGUUCUUGAAACACUUCAUUAUUAACUUCUUUCUAGCUAAAGGAUUUUAAUCCUUUGUUUCAUAGUCUUUUUCUUCUUAGCUUUUUUUUUUUUCUGGUGAGGAAGAUUGUCCCUAAGGUAACAUCUGUUGCCAAUCUCCCUCUUUUUCCUUCAGGAAGAUUGUCCUUGAGCUAACAUCUGUGCCAAUCUUCCUCUAUUUUUGUAUGCAGGAUGCUGCCACAGCAUGGCUUGACGAGCGGUAUGUACAUCUGUAUCUGGGAUCCAAACCCUCGAACCCUGGGCCACCAAAGCAGAGCAUGCAAACUUAACCACUGCGCCACCGGGUGUACUUUUCUUAGCAUUUUUGAAUGGCUUCCCAUUGCUCAUAAAUUCAAAAUCCUCACAUGGCCUGCAGCCCCUGGCUUAAUCUGGCCCUCCCUUCCUCUUCAACCUCAUUUCAUGUCACCCGCCCCCAGCUCCACACACAAAGUUCUUGCCACGCUCACCCGUGUUCUUUAGCAAGCACACCAGGUCCAGUCCGGCUCCGGGUCACCUGCUCGUGCCAUCAUUCCGCCCUGGCUCUCUUCACCCAACCUCUCCUCCCUUUUCCAGGCUAACUCCUUCCUACUCAUCCUUCAAGUCUCCUUGAAAGUGCCACUUUCUGCAGGAGGCUCACCCUGACCACCUCAUACCUCAGAGUCCCAGGAGAUUUUCUUUCACAGCACUUUCUCUUAUUUCUCUAAGUAUGUGUUUAACACUCGUGGCAUGAAGAGAGGCUGGGUCCUUGGUGCUCUCAUCUCUCUCCACCCUCACUGGUUUGGCAGUGCCACCCAUCUCAGGGCUUUAAAUAUCAUUAACAUACUGACAAUUCCCAAAUGCAUAUAUCCAUUCCAGAUUUCUCUCCUAAAUGCCAGAUUCAUAUGUCUAAUUUUCUGCUUGACAGUUGACCUAAAUAUACUUAUAGACAUAUCAGACAUCACACGUCCACCUCUGAAUUCCCACCUUCCCCCCAAAACCUGCUCUACCUGCAGCCUUUCCCCCAUUUCAGGUGACAGCACCUCCAUUCUUCCAGGUGCUCAGGCCAAAGAACCCUGGAGUCCUUCUUCACAUGUCUUUCUCUCUUACCCUCCUCCAAUCUUUCAGGGAAUCCUAUUAGGGAUUCCUUCAAAAUAUGCUCAAAUUUUGUCCAUUUCUCACCACACCCCACUCCUGGAUCACUGCCUGAGCCUCUUACAGGGCUUCCUGAUACGUUUGUCCUUCACACUGUAUCUCAACACAACAGCUAGGUGGAACUUUUAAAACCCAAGUGAGAUUGUAUCACUCAUCUGCUGAAAAUCCUUCAAUGGCUCCCCAUUUCCCUUGAAGGAAGAACCACAGACCUUACAAUGAUUUGCGUUGUCUGUCUGACUCUCUUCUUCACUCUGCUCCAACCACAGCAGCCACGCUCCUGCCUUAGGAUCUUCGUAUUGACAGGUCUCUUGUCUUAGAACGCCCUUCACUCAAAUAUCCCCAUGGAUAAUCCCUCACCUCUUUCAAAGCUUUUCUUUUUCUUUUCUAUAUCAAUUAGCACCUUCUACCUUCAUAUGUAAUCUACUCACUUUUUGCAACUAUUAUUUAUUGUCCAUACUCCUUACCAGAGUGUCAGCUCUAUGAGCUCAGGGACUUUAUUCACUGAUAUAUCCCAAGUAGCUGAAAUAUAGUGGGUUCUCAACUAUUUAUGAGAUGAAUGUAAAGGAGCCUCCUAUACAAACUUCAGUUUACAAGUGUUUACAAGGUUGUUUUAAGGAUAAAUGAAAAAAUAUGUGUGAAAGUGCUUUGUAGGCUAAAGUCCCCAUUGAUGAAGACCCCAAUCUUUAUUCCUUCCACAGAAAUCACCGUUGUUAUCAGCGGCGUAUUUUUUUCACUUAAUCUAUGUAUAUAUGAUCACAAAAAAUAUAUUAUUUAAUAUGAGCUUCUUUUCUUAAAAUAGUGAACAGCAUCAUAACAUUGAAAAGCGAAAACCCUUCACAAGACAAAGUUCUUUAUGUGAGUGAGAUUAUUGUUACUUGGGAGUAGGGAUUAAGGGACUCUCAAAACAAGUGAUGAAUUAUGUAUUUUGCAGUAACUCUGUACUUUUACUCCAGCAUGACCCUUGAAUAUCCUCUUCUGAAAAUGGAGUGCUGUAUGAAAACAGAAAUAAAUGCAAUUUCCUUAAGGUUGAGGCAAAGAUCGAGGAGAUAAAAUUCACUUUUCUAAGAGAUAGUCUAUUUGGGUUGCCAUUCUCCUUGUGUUCUGAGGCAUUCUGAUGGGAUUUAUAUUCAAUUUCUGAAAAAAUGUUGAGAAUUUCAGACUCAAAAACAUCACAAAACAGGAUAUUUUCUCAAUCAUCUAGAUGUUUAAUCUUAUAUCUACUUCUAAGUUUUGAUUUCAAAGUUGAUGUAAAUUAUAAUUUAUUGCUAUUUUAUUUCUAAAACAUUUGACUAUUUUUAAACCACC
rnacentral:lncRNA from 1 species